rnacentral:rRNA from 1 species
GACGAACGCUGGCGGCGUGCUUAACACAUGCAAGUCGAACGGAAAGGCCCUGCUUUUGUGGGGUGCUCGAGUGGCGAACGGGUGAGUAACACGUGAGUAACCUGCCCUUGACUUUGGGAUAACUUCAGGAAACUGGGGCUAAUACCGGAUAGGAGCUCCUGCUGCAUGGUGGGGGUUGGAAAGUUUCGGCGGUUGGGGAUGGACUCGCGGCUUAUCAGCUUGUUGGUGGGGUAGUGGCUUACCAAGGCUUUGACGGGUAGCCGGCCUGAGAGGGUGACCGGCCACAUUGGGACGGAGAUGAGGCCCAGACUCCUACGGGAGGCAGCAGUGGGGAAUAUUGCACAAUGGGCGGAAGCCUGAUGCAGCAACGCCGCGUGCGGGAUGACGGCCUUCGGGUUGUAAACCGCUUUCGCCUGUGACGAAGCGUGAGUGACGGUAAUGGGUAAAGAAGCACCGGCUAACUACGUG